ACGCGGCGCGGCGCGGGGCGGGGGCCGCCGGCCACGCCCCCUGGCAGGGCCCCCGCGCCUGGCCCCGGGCCCAUGCAAACCCGUGAUUUGCAUGCGCGGAGCUGGGGACCUGGGGAGGGGGCGGGCUGCGGCUGCGGCGGGUCCCCGACCCUGCGCAACACCUGUCCGCCCGCCCGGCCCGCAGCCCCUCCCUGCCGCGCCCGCAGCGACCCAGACGCCUGGGCCCGCUCGCCCUUGUUAGGAACCCGCGAUGGAUGAUCCGGCCGGGGCGAGCUGCUGUCUGGACAGGCUCCCAGAGGGUCCCAGGGAGUGGUGCCAAGGCAAAGGGACCACCUGUCUGUAAGCCCAGAAAGCCAGUUGCUGACAGGAGCCCAGGACCUUGCCAUCCUCUCCAGACAGGUGGGGAAAAUGAGGCUUUGAGAGUGGAACUUGCCGGUGUUGCACAGCCACUGGAGGACUUUUUCAGAGAGUAGCCAAAACCUCACUCCAGGAGACUGCAGUUCCCCAAACUGAUCAACUCUGACUCUACCCCAGGUCCUCCUGGUCUUCCUGGGGUGACAUCGGAUUCCCUUUGCUGCACCUCUUGGAAGUCACUAGCACCCUGGGCCCCAUUUCUAUUUGAGCAUGCACUCUGCUUCUUUUGCCUCAAAGGACAGAAGAAGGCUCUAGGAGUCUAGCCUCCCCUGUCAGACACAUUGCUGGACUGGGGAUGCACGGGGGAUGGGGAUGCUGGAUUGGUAUUGCACUAUCUCCCGUUCAGAGAAGGCACUUGGGGGAGGGAGGUGGGGGCCUCCCAGCCCCCCAACCCCCCUGGCCCUGCUCUCCGCCUCAGCAGAGAAGUGGCCUUUUUUGGCCGUGCGCCCUGUUGCUCAUUCACAUUUCCUGUCAUGUCAGCUGGAUUGAGUUGUCAGGGCUGGGAGAAGGGUGGGGAGCGAGGCGUCCUGGAAGGCCACCAAACAACAAGUCCCUUCUAGCUCCUUCUGUCUGCCAGAUGGGCUGUAGGGCCCAGAGCGUGGGGGUACGGGUGGGGGUCAGCUCCCUGCCUUGGGGCAACCACAGGGAGUGGAAUGGAUCCCAGCUCAGGCUUCCCAAAAGAGCAGAUGGAAGGAAAAGCAGAGGCCAAGAAGAACUUACAGGCCUCUUUUAAAAUCACACCUCAGAGGUAAUCUGAUGGCACCGCUGCCAGGAGGAGUAUUGCAGAAUGGGGGUGGAGGGAGUUAGUGUUGGGUGACAAAGUGAGAGGUGCUCUGGGAACCAGGACAAGGGAGUCAGGACCCUGAGCUCUUCCCUGCUCCUGAUAAUCCCAAUGCCGAGUCCCCAGCCCCCACACCCGCUCCACCCGGUACCCAGCCUUCGCUCACCUCUAGAGGGAGGAGUACACACAAAUGUACAGCCCACUUGGCACUUGAAGAUUCUGAAAAAUAGUAAUGAUACGGAUUUGAUUCUAAAACAGCAUAACAACUGACUUCCAGUGAGCUUUGUUGAUCUUGGGGACUGCAUUGGGCCCGGGUCUGGCCACUCUGAUCACACCUUCCGCAGAUCCCUGCCUCCGUCCUUUUCCAGACUCUCCAGGUCUACCUUAGACGAGGUGAGCCGCCAGGUCCGCCCGCUCGCUCAGGGCAAGUCUAAGGCCGGCGCGCCCUCUUGCGGUGAUGGGGGCGUGUGACCUCCGCUUGAGCAUCAUCCUUGCAACACGUGCCCAUCCAUGGCCGGGGACCUACACACAGGUGAGGGCCCCAGUUCCAGGCCAGUUGAAGACGCUGAAUCUUGGUUUCAGAGUGCUGUUGGGUCUUUGGUCCGUGAUCCCCGUGGAACCUCAGUUGGCCAGCCUUAGCCCAAUCAAUGCAAGGACAGGAGUCCCAGGCCUUGUCCGGUGGCCGUCCUGUCACUGGACAGCUCUGCUGGUUAAAAUGUCAUACCUCCCUGAGCGCCUGGGUGGCUCAGUGGUUGAGCGCCUUCGGCUCAGGUUGUGAUCCCGGGAUCCUGGGAUAAGGUGCUGCAUCAGGCUUCCUGGAGGGAGCCUGCC